GCUUGGAGUGGACAGAAAUGGGCUACAUUUUCUCACACAGGAAAUACUCGAAUAACACUGUGAAAUCAGUGGUUGACGGUGGAGUUAUCAGUCUAAAGAAAAUAGAAAA
rnacentral:rRNA from 1 species